UACGUAGGGGGCGAGCGUUGUCCGAAUUUACUGGGCGUAAAGCGCGCGUAGGCGGCUAUUUAAGUCUGGGGUGAAAGGUUCGACGGCUUAACGUGAACAGUGCCUUGGAUACUGGGUGGCUUGAGUCUGGGAGAGGGGUAGUGGUAAUUCCUGGGUGUAGCGGUGAAAUGCGUAGAUAUCAGGAGGAACACCGGUGGCGAAGGCGGCUACCCUGGCCUAAGACGUGACGCUGAGGUGCGAAAGC
rnacentral:rRNA from 1 species